UGGGGAAUAUUGGGCAAUGGAGGGAACUCUGACCCAGCAACGCCGCGUGAGUGAAGAAGGUUUUCGGAUUGUAAAACUCUUUAAGCGGGGACGAAGAAAGUGACUGUACCCGCAGAAUAAGCAUCGGCUAACUACGUGCCAGCAGCCGCGGUAAUACGUAGGAUGCAAGCGUUAUCCGGAAUGACUGGGCGUAAAGGGUGCGUAGGUGGUUUGCCAAGUUGGCAGCGUAAUUCCGUGGCUUAACCGCGGAACUACUGCCAAAACUGGUAGGCUUGAGUGCGGCAGGGGUAUGUGGAAUUCCUAGUGUAGCGGUGGAAUGCGUAGAUAUUAGGAGGAACACCGGUGGCGAAAGCGACAUACUGGGCCGUAACUGACACUGAGGCACGAAAGCGUGGGGAGCAAACAGGAUUAGAUACC
rnacentral:rRNA from 1 species